UCACAAAAUGCCGUCUUCAGGAGAAGACAUUGUACGCCCAACACAACCAUCUUCAUGACAUUCCAUGGCGAUUUGGCUUUAUGUGAUUCCACCCUGGCCUUCAACAUCAGUUGGUACCUCCGUUCCUCAAUCUGCACAAUGAAGUCUUUACUACCCAGUGAGUACAAUCCCUUCUUCUUCUCUCACAGGCCAGACUCGUCGUAAACCUGCACACGACCAACAAUAGCACACAGAGAAACAGACAUAUCCACUGUGCCAUCACAUUAAUGUUGUAAUGCGGAAGGAACCACAAAAAUAAUGUGUUGCCUGUAAUGUAUUAGACACCUUUUUCUAAAUUAGAAGAGAUAUCCUGUUUUGUCCUUUUCACUUUUUUAGUUGUUCUAUUUCUACUUCCUGUAGGACAACAAGGCACUGACUAUGUUGGUCUGGAUCACAUGUGAAGGAGGACUGGAGUGGCUUCUACAGCCAGGGAUACAUGUACUUCCCAAAUGCUCACUCUUUUACCAACCCAAGGUCGGCUCUUCUUUUGUUGUUUGUUGGUUGUUGUUGUUGUUGUUGUGUUGUUGUUUGUUUGGGGUUGUUGUUUGUUGUUGUUGUUGUUGGGGUUGUUUGUUGUUUGGUUGUUGUGGGGUGGUUGUUGUUGGGGUUGUUGGUUGUUGUUGGGGUUGUUGUUGUUGGUUGGUGUUGGGUUGUUGUUGGGGUUGGGUUGUUGUUGGGGUGUUGUUGGUUGUUGGUGUUUGGUUGUUUUGGUUGUUGUUGGGUUGUUUGUUGUUGGGUUGUUGUUGUUGUUGGGGUUGUUGUUGUUGUUGGUUGUUGUUGGGGUUGUUGUUGGUUGUUGUUGGGUUGUUGUUGGUUGUUGUUUGGGUUGUGUUUGUUGUUGUGGUGUUGUUGGUUGUGUGUUGGGGUUGUGGUGUGUUGGUUGUUGUUGGGUGUUGUUGUUGUUUGUUUGUUGUGGGGUGUUGUUGUUGUUGGGGUUGUUGGUGUUGGGGUUGUUUGGUUGGUUGUGUGGUGGGGGGGGGUGGGGUUGCCAUACACUGACUUGUAAUUCUUGGUUGAUGUAUUAUAUCUCUGUCCCCUCCCCCCUCCAUUCCUCCUUCCAGGUGUACUACACAGACUUCAGCCCCUAUCAACCCCUCAUCAGCCCACAGAGCGAGGAAGGCAGGCCUUCCAAUCAGAGUGCUCCACAGGGGUGGCUGGAAAAGCCGGGAACAGGGUGCUAUUUGGGAUGGCGUUCGAAGUGUCU
rnacentral:lncRNA from 1 species